rnacentral:rRNA from 1 species
GGCGUCCUACUGCAGGUCCACGGGAUCCCUGGCAGCUUGCUGUCGGGGUGAGAGUGGCGAACGGGUGAGUAAUGCGUGACCAACCUGCCCUGUGCACCGAAUAGCUCCUGGAAACGGGUGGUAAUACCGGAUGCUCCGCUCCAUCGCAUGGUGGGGUGGGAAAUGCUUUUGCGGCAUGGGAUGGGGUCGCGUCCUAUCAGCUUGUUGGCGGGGUGAUGGCCCACCAAGGCGUUGACGGGUAGCCGGCCUGAGAGGGUGACCGGCCACAUUGGGACUGAGAUACGGCCCAGACUCCUACGGGAGGCAGCAGUAGGA